rnacentral:rRNA from 1 species
AUGGGGAAGGCCCCCGGAUUUGGCCUGAUCUUCACGCUAGGAAAGGAUAACUUGCUUUGCCUGAUGAACCAAAUGUUUGUCAUUGGAAGGACGAAGGACAAAGAAAAAAUGGCAGAUCUUCAGAAAGAGGUAGACAUGUAUCAUGACUUUUUGUUUAUUGAUGCUGAUGAGGGUACAAAGCCCCCAGAGAAGAUGUUAGCAUAUUUCAAAGCAGCUUAUGACAUGUUCCACGCAGAAUUUUACGUCAAAGCUGAUGAUACUAUCUAUCUGCGCCCAGAUAGACUUGCUGCUCUCCUUGCAAAGGACCGACUUCAUCACCGGACUUAUAUUGGUUGCAUGAAGAAGGGACCGGUUGUCAGUGAUCCGAAUAUGAAAUGGUAUGAAAGUUCAUAUGGAUUAUUAGGUAAUGAGUACUUCAUGCAUGCAUCUGGUUCACUGUAUGCUCUUUCUUCAGAAGUGGUGGGAGCUAUAGCUACUACAAACAAUGAUAGUUCUAGCGUGUUGCAGUAG